rnacentral:rRNA from 1 species
UACGUAGGUGGCAAGCGUUAUCCGGAAUUACUGGGCGUAAAGCGCACGCAGGCGGCUCUUUAAGUUUGACGUGAAAGCUCCCGGCUUAACUGGGAGAGGUCGUUGAAAACUGGAGGGCUUGAGGCAAUGAGAGGGGUGUAGAAUUCCCGGUGUAGUGGUGGAAUGCGUAGAUAUCGGGAGGAAUACCAGUGGCGAAAGCGGCACCCUAGCGUUGUUCUGACGCUCAUGUGCGAAAGCGUGGGGAGCGAACAGG